GUGGCGGGACCUGUAGCUGUUGGCCCAGCGGGCGCUGGGCAAAAGCCCCACGUGGGGUGGCGGCUGGUGUACAGACCGCGGCGGGAGAGAGGCGCGGUAGGAACGGGUCUUUGGAGCCGUGACCGGCGCAGGAGCAAAAGAGAAGCAAUGCAGAAAUCCGAGUGCCAUAGAGACGUACAGUUAAGAAACAGAAUGACAGAUAACUGUGAUCAAAGGACAUCAUCAAGUGCACAAAUAAAACAUAGGACUACAGUUCAACAAAGGAAAUCCUCCUGGUCAACCAGUUCUCCAGAAUCUGCAAGACAUCCUCGACCAAGUGAUAAACUUAACCCUAAAACAAUUAACCCUUUUGGUGAACAGUCACGAGCCCCUUCUGCAUUUGCAGCUAUUUACUCUAAGGGAGGUGUUCCUUGCAGAUUGGUCCAUGGUUCAGUAAAACACAGGUUACAGUGGGAGUGUCCUCCUGAAAAGCUUCCAUUUGAUCCUCUUCUUAUUACUUUAGCUGAGGGUCUGAGGGAGACUAAACAUCCAUACACCUUUGUGUCAAAGGAGGGUUUUAGAGAAUUACUUUUGGUCACAGGUGCUCUUGAAAAAGCUGUGCCUUUGCUUCCUAGACUGAUUCCUGUGCUGAAGGCAGCUCUGGUCCACUUGGAUGAUGAAGUGUUUGAAAGAGGAUUGAAUGCUCUGGUACAGUUAAGUGUCGUUGUUGGCCCUUCUCUAAAUGACCAUCUGAAACAUCUGCUUACAAGUCUUUCCAGGAGACUAAGGGACAAGAAAUUCAAAGAACCAAUCACCACUGCAUUACAGAAGCUGGAGCAGCAUGGUGGAAGUGGAAGCCUUAUCAUCAUCAAAUCUAAAAUUCCAACCUAUUGCUCCAUAUACUGCUGAAGAAACUAGCCCUGGUGACAGGUGUUAAACGCUGACCACGUGGAAAGGAGUAGAGGGAGAGAAACAUCUGGGCAGGAAGAGCGCCGUUAGGGACCCGGCUGGCCACACCAAAUCCAAGGCUAACAGACUUCUGAAGGGCUGGAGAUUAGGGGCAGCAAUAUUCUGUCCCAGAAGCCUCGGAGAACACCCUUUCUUUGCUCCAUCCUCAGAUGAGAAGAGAUUUCUGGCACCUCCUUGGAGAUUGGAGUGUUAAAAGAGGAGACUGAAAAAUUCUAGGGCCGGGUCAGAAAAAAUAGAAGAUGAGGCUGGAGCAUCUUGUAGUGUCCAAAAGUAAGGAAUGAGCAAAGAAAGAAACAAAACAAAACAAAAAAAUAAACCACCACAAUGAUGGGGCCAUGUUGAAGCCAACUGCAAGAGCUUCCAGUGGCCCAGCUGGAACAAUUUAAGCAAAAAGAUAAAAUAUUGAACUAUAACUCAAGUAUAAAAUAUAUGUCCAUUUGUCCACACCGAUAUGAAUCACUGGUGGAAUACGUUCAUAAAUGGAGGAGAAGAGACAAAUCCUUCUCUUCUUUGGAAGAGAAGAAUUCCAAAUCAACUAUGUGUACACUCUACCCUUAAGGAGUCGGAGCAUAACUCCCAAUCUGUAAGUGUGAUCUGUGUAUAACUUCCUUCCAAAGAGUAUGGUUUGGAAAGAGGGAUAAAAGCAUAACUUUACAGUAAAGAAAUUACCAGCACUACUUCAACCAGGUGAUCAAGUUUUACAUCAAACGGUCAUAAAUCAUGUUGAUACUAUGGACUCUUGUUAUGUAAUAAUAAAAGCACCUUACCUCUGUGGUCUUCCUCCUCAAAACACAUAUCCCUAUUCCAAUCAUGAGAAAAAACAUCAAACAAAUCCCAACUGAGGGACAUUCUGCAAAACACCUGACCAAAACUCAAAACUGUUAAGGUUAUCAAAACAAGGACAAUUUGAGAAACUGUCACAGCCAAAAGGAGCUUAAGGGGACAUGGUGAGUGAAGGUAAUGUAAGAUCCUAAUAGAAUUCUGGAACAGAAGAAAGGCUUUCGGUAAAAACUAAGAAAAUCGGAAUAAAGCAUGGACUUUAGUUAAUAAUAGUGUAUCAACAUUAGUUCAUGAAUUGUAACAAGUUUACCAUAUUAAUGCGUGAUGUGAAUAACAGGAAACUGGGUGUGAGGUGUAUGGGAACUCUCUGUACUAUCUUUGCAGUUUUUCUGUAAAUGUAA